CCCUCUUCUCGUCUCGCUGUGUUCCGUGUCAGAUCGGCUCACUACUGCUGCGCCCGACUGCACGCAAGGCUUCAGUAUUAGUUCUGGGUGAAGUGCUGUUUCUUGGACGCAUUAGCAGCUGCAGUGCAGGAGCUCAGAACAGUGAUACAGCUGGCAUUGGAUUCACUUGGUGCUGGGGGACCACUCAUCACGCUUCCUGUUGCUGUCCAGAGUAUGUGAUCUAAAUAGGAUGUGGGAUUAGAAGAGGCACCUGAAAAUGCACACUAAUACAAAGUUUCAGGAUGCAGAAGAAAACUUACCCUCUACUAGGAGAAAACUCCAUUCAAAAUAAUGAAAUAACGAAGGCAAGAGUAAUGAAAGAAAGAAUACUUACCAUGACUGUCAUAAUGAAGCCAGUGCAGACUAAACAUAUGGCUAAACUAAUGUGCACAGAAGCCUGACGCCUUUGGAAGCAACAGGAUUUUAAUGUGAACAAUGGAACCAAUUUGGGUUUCUACCCUUCCAACAAGGUUAGGGCUAGUCUGCAUCCCUUCAGAUGAAGAACGUCCAGAUCCUCACCACGUCAUGGCUGGAAGAGUAUUUUCAAGGAAGGACUGUGGUCUUUGCUUCCAGAGCAACUUGCAUUCUCCCAACUCUGAUGUGUGCGAUGAGAGAAGUCACACCCACAUGAACCAAAACAACCUGCGAAACAAGUGAGCAAAGCUGCGAGGAUCAAAACUUCACUUGCAUACAAAUCACAGAAUCAUUAAGUUUGGAAAAGACCACAAAGAUCACCAAGUCCAAGCAUCAGCCCAUCCCCACCAGGCCUACAAAGCCACGUUUUUUGAACACCUGCAGGGAUGCUGGGUGACUUCAUCAUCUGCCUGGGCAGCCUAAUCCAGUGCAUCACCACUCCUUCUGAGAAGAAACUUCUCCAAAUAUGGUUGACUCAGGAGAUACAGCCAGAAGUAGUUCUAUGGUUUAGUUUGAAAGUUAUAAAUGAUAGUUCUCUAAAUUGAAAGUAAUGCCAGCUCUCCAGGAAAUAUAUACAUACAGGCUGUUCUGAAAUGCCUCCUAUUUAUUUCCAGAGAAACUACAACAAAUGCAAAGAGCACAAUGACACUAUUUGAUAGAGAAAACUCUCAGCUACAAAAUCUAUUUUUCAACAGAGUCACCAUCAUUAGCUAUGUAUUUUUCUUUUUUGUCGGCAGUGAAUAAAAGCCUGCAUGUCGUGCUUGUAGCAGUCUGCAUCAGUGGAGAUGACCACUGUCACUGUCACCACUGUUGAAAUGCACCACCCACCCACCCCUCACUGUGCUCACAUUCACUGCUCAGUCUCCAUAAAUGUUCAGCAUGUAUCAGUGAAUGUCAAUGAGUACAAUAUUUUUUGCAUAGAGGAUUUCAGUGAAACACUUUUUUCUUCAUCUGUACUUCCAUGUCAGAUGCUGUUUUGUCAGACUGCCCCUCUGCUCCCAUCUCUCACAUGCAACAAAAUGUAAUGGAAUAUAGGUGGUUCAGCCUCUACUGCCAUACGAGCAACAUCUGCCUCUUAUGUGGUGGACCGACAUAAUAAAAAAGGAGGCAUUACUUUCAGAGCAGCAAGAUCAAGCAGCCAGAACCUAGCAGAUUUAAGAAAGAAGAUUGUAUUAUAAGAAAUAAAGGCAAACACGGGGGAUCAGGUUGACAUAGGUCACAUUAAGGACCAGAUUCAGGUAUAGACAUACCCAGUAUCUGAAAUAAGCAAUUCUGUCAAUCCCUAAGACACCUAAAUAAAUAAAAUAUUAAAAUAUUAAAAAUAUAAAGCUCAAGAUGAAAGUUAAAAUUAAAAAAAAAAAAAGGAAAAAAAAACUCCAAACCGUAAGAUAAUUAUUCCUUAAUGCUGUUAGGACUUUAUAAAUGCUUUUUAGAAUUUACCCUCCAUUUGAUACUGCAUUCUGUAGUUCAUCAGCACCUUACUCAAUCCUUCUGAAGCUCAUACAAUGACUUUGCCAUCUGCAGUCAUAUUUGAGUCAGGCAUUUGGAGAGACAACCAGAUAGUUCGUAGUUACUGAGGUACAAGUUUGAUGCCUCUGUAAAACCACAGCACAGAUGCCUCUCUUUUUAAUAUUUACAGCCUGUCUCUUUGUGUAAGAUAUGUGUAAGUACUCAAAAAGCAGAAUUUCUGAACUUCUAACUAAUAUAAGGGAGCAGGUCACAUUGGAAAGACCAGAAAAACAGAUUCAUUCCACAAAGUGAAGAUGAAUGUUUCUUGGUCAAGUUCCUGGAAAUAUCACUAGCCAGAAAUCUCAGAAAAACUGAUGAAAAACUAUUAUACAGAUCAUCAAAAUACCUCAACUAUUUUUUUUUCUUUGACAUUGCAAAUGGAUUAUAAGUAAUCUUUCAAUCUUAAAUAAAAUCACUCUCUACGAAAACUUGUACAGUCUGAACUUUGCAAAGUGAUCACACACACUGACAAAGAAAGUAUGUGAGGUUUUUCCAUAAGCAUCUCUUUUAGUAGUCAAAUAAAGCACAGAGAGUGGGAAAUUAUGGCUGCAGUCUCUGUCACAAACUUUUUUUUAUGUGGUUGGAGUAUGUUGUGUACAGCUCACAAAUGUAAGGUCACAACAUGUUAGCAUUUUAUUGACAUAAAGUUAUACACAUACAAAAGUUGUACCUAACUUACACUGUCUACAGUUUGUGAGGUGACAGACAACACCAUAGAAAUCAAAAUAAGCUCUUCAGUGAGUUCUGGAGAUUCAAUUCCUACGUCAUUUAUGUUGUGCACUUUGAACACUUUUAUUAUUAAAAUUGGUACAGACUACAGUGAGUUUUAGAGUCUCACUAGAAUUUCAGUUGUAAAUUCCUUGUGUAGAGAUCAGAAGUAACGCUCAGAGUUGCACUGAGACCAUAAUACAGAUGCAGGAUGACAAGCAUUGUCGCAGACAUGCAGGUGAAUAUGUCAUGAUGUGAUAGCAAAGCCAUCCCAGAGGGGCUAAUGACAGUGCAAAUGGUGCUAGGAGAGAACUAAAGAGAUGCAAGAAAUUAGUAAGGAGCACAAGAUCACGUGUUCUGACUGUGUUACAAAAAAUGCGUGUACAUACAGAAUCACCAUAUACUCAUGACAAUGAAAACAUGAUAGGAGGUAAUACCUGUGAGAAAGGAUUCCAUUUUGUACGGCGUACUGAUAAAAGCCAUCUGAAGCAAAGACUGCAUAGGUCACAUUGAAGAAUUCUCCACUUACUGCCGUUUCUGGAGGCUUUUGCACCCAUGCCAUCUCCAGACCUAGAAAGAAUAAAAUUUUAAGCCUUUUCUACUUGACAGUUGUGUAAAAAUGUAAAGUUUCUUCUGUAGUAUGGAACACAGUGUAGUGAACAGAAGUGUGAUUUCCAACUAUUUUUCCUGCUGCUUUUUACAAGCCCCAAAUAUUCAUCCAUCUUAGUGGCUGCAUAGGUAAGUGCAAAUGCGCAUUUAUAUAACAAUUCUGACAUUCACAUUCUCCAAGCAAUUGGAGUAACAGGACAGAAAAUCUGAUCAUUUUAUCUCUAGUAAAUUUAAUCCCAGUAUAAUGGAGUGCUACACUUGAUUUCCUCUUACAUUAGGUAAUAAACAUUGUUGGCAAUUCUUGGCUGCUCUCACUGAGGCCUACCUCCUGGAAGAACAGACUACUUUAGCUCCCAUGAAAUACAGUCAGAACUGUUAACCUCACAAGAUAUAAAUUACGUGUGCUAAUUAAACACUUUAAAAAGUAUUAUCUUCUUAUAAAACCAUUUGACACCUAGAGCAGAGGACAGUGGGAGUACUGCUACUCAGACAUUUGUCUUUUUCAAUUUCUAUAUCCUUACAAGGAAAAAUAAUUUAUCCCACUCAUUUCCCUCAUUCUUGGGACACCUUACUACCAACUCUAAACCUAGAAAUGAAGUGAGAUUAUUCUCAAACAGUACUAUCAAAAUCUUUCCAUUCCUUUCACCAAUCUUUUCCCCUGUUGUUAAUUGAAGGUUUUAAAUUCUGACAUGUGAAAUUACUAACAUUAUGCAGACACGCAGACCUCAGUUUGUCAGGAAAUUUAAAAUCCUUUUCCCAGAGGAUGGGUGAACCUGCUGUUCAGUUGUUGUUCAGUUACAGACUCACAUAUUAGUCCGGAGUUGUCUUUACAAGUGUAUUAUACACUUGCACUGUCAGUGAAAUAAACUACUACUUUUCCCCUUAAACACAAAUCCCUUUCAUAUAUGAAGAAACAAACUGUAAACUAACCUAAAGAUAUCACCUCUCCCUCAAAAAGUAAACACUCAUUAUAGGAGCCAGCAUUAUGAGAGAAACUACAAAACAAAUAUUUACAUAAAAUCCUAAUAUUAUUUGCAUUAAAAGGAAUGAGAGCUAAACUUCAGGAAAAGUGAGAGAUCGAAGGUAGAAGGUCAGCAUAAAUUUCAGAAAAAAGUGUAUUUAUACUUCUCUUUAAAGGUCUCACAAAAGCAAAUAAAACUCUUAUUUCAAUGAUAGAUACUUCCACUUCUAAAUGAUUUGAAGAUCUUGCAUUACAAGUUAAAUUCACAGAAAUACAGUAGAUGCCUAUUGCUUUGCAUUUAGCAGUGCACCAAAGAUGAGAAGGAAGAAUCAUAGAAAAAGGCAGGAUAAAGAUUGAAGUCUGUUCUAAAACUCUUUGAGAAGGGUUUAUGUAAAUGAAACUGCCUACUCAUAUUAGUUUCCUCUGUCCUACAUUCACACUGAUUUAUUAGUAAGAAUAUGCUUCAAACUAGUCUUUUUUUUCUGGUAAGUAGUAGUUUCAGUGUUAAAGCAGUAGUAAAUUCUUACAGCUUGUCAACUUACUUGACAAUUACCUAGACAGUCUUUCAGUUUCUUUGUUCAAUCCAAACUCUUCACAAAAUGUUUAACUAAAGCAUGGAGUGGAGAGCAUCGCCCAGCAGUUUAUUUCCUGGACGAUUUUUACCAGUAUUACAGUUUCUCUGGUGUACUUGUUUUUCUCUAAAAACCCUAUCAAGAAAGAAUUGUCUCCAGUUCCAACCUUUUUGAACAUAAACAGAAGUGUUCCACUUUGUUUUUCCAUCUCAAACAAUUCAGGAGAUUAAACAAAAAGAUUAUUAUUUUUUUUAAUGCCAUCAUGUAAAUUCAGUUUUCAAACUGGAGUAAGUGGUUAAAGAUCUCAGAUUUUAAGUACUCAUGGAACACAACUUUGAGCAAGGAGAGAAAAGUAUAAAAUGUAGAAGUGGUGCUUUUACUUACUGGCUAGAGGGUUUAAAUGGUUCACUUUUGAAAUGAUGCCACAGAAUUCCAGGAAUAGAAUUUGCAACAGUACUGAGCUGACUACCUGAUUUUUUUGGAUUAUGCUGCAUUCAGUUUUCAAAUGAGAAAUAAAAUGUUUUCAAUUCUUAUUUUAGGGGGAGAGGCUCAGCUGUUGCAAUUUUUCUUUUGGAAGCAAUGAAUACUGAGCAAAUAAUUGCUCGGAAGUAUCUUUUGACUGUUUUCUUUCACCUUUUUCUCAAGAAAGAAUGUCAUCACCUACUCUGAUGCCUUCCACCAUGUGAAACAUUUGUUAUGAGUUAGGUGUCAGUCUGAGCACUUCAAUUUUAGGUCCUCAACCAUUCUCUGAGCAAGAAAUUAUAUUCCUUGAGCAGCUUUAGAACUCACCUCCACAGUCCAUCAUGUUAUAUUCAUCUGGUUUUUCCAGGGGCCAACAGUCAUAGUCUUUGUUGUCUAAAUCAUGCCAUCCUUCCACUAAUAUCACCUGCCAGAAACAGACCUCAUAAAACACUGUAUAGAAACAGGGGAAGGAUGCUUUCCAUCUGUAGUUUGUCUUUCUAUCUAAAGCAAAGACAGAUACAGUACUUGGCAUAUUUUGUUUUGUCUCUUCAAGUUCUGGAGACAAAAACGAUAGUUUCCUAGGGAUCGGUGUAUUAUUUUUAUCUACCCAGUAAUGAUUCGUAAGACAAUUAGGUGACUUAACUAAAAUGUCUCUCCCAGAAGUUUUCCUCUGCAAAAAAUGGGCAGUUCUAGGACCAUAUGCAGAGAGACAUAUUAUUUAAAGAUUUUUUUCUCUGUGUUUAAAAUGACGUACACCUGCUGCAAACUGUCUUUCUUUUAAUCUUUUACACCUACAUUACUUCGAUGACUAUUUUUCAUUAAAGCUUUAAUAACAAAAUACAAUUAAUUGUACAAAUGUUACAACAGGCAAUUAUAGACAAGAUUAUCUAUGCCUAUUUCUUGCAGAAUACAGCAUUAUAAUAGCAUACAGAGUGAAUUUGAAUGGUUGCAAAAUAUAUAAUAUACCUAUAUAUAUAUGUUAUACACUACAAAUGUUUUUAUACUAAUCAAGUAAUAAAAUAUACCUUGUAGACUGUAGAUGAAAAGAUUAUGAUUAUACAUUUUGUUUUUAAUCCACAAUUAGAAAAGGAUAUUAAGUUCUGUGAUUCUGUGAUCCAUAUAAUCUAUUUUUUCUGUGCAUAUUAUUGGAGAAUAAUCAUCUACUGGUUUAUGCAAUUACUUAUCCCAUUAUUCCAGGAGGAAGAUUUAUAUAAUUGAUUUUUACACCAUAUUCUGCCAUUAUUCUUGUUUUUUACAUUACUAAAAUAGCAUUCAACAAUUAUCUGAAAUUAAUAGCCAUCUCCCUGCAAUAAGCCAUCUACAGUUCCUUCAGUACGCACGGACCACACAAAUAUGUGAUGGUAAAAGGAUCUACAUAGCUUACCUACCAAUAAACUGAGGAGGCUUUGGAGCCUGAAGGCAAGUAUUUUGGUAGCUCGCAUGCUCACUAAUGUGCAUCCAGCUCAUCAAGUGAUGAGGCUGCUUCUAAUACUGCUGUUGCUGCUGAAUUAGAUGCCCCUGUCUAAGAAGCAGGGUUGCUAGGCAAGCUGAUCCUGACAACUCCAGCUGCUGCAGAUGUUCUGCCUCCCCCUUCCCUCUUCUACCCUACCCUACUUCUUCUUGAUGCAAGCUGAAAACACCCCGCCACACCUCUGCCAAACCUCUCUGAAAAAACAGUACUCGUCUUAGGGGCAGCCCUCCUUUCAGACUGGGGCCAUUUGUGCUCCUGUCAGCUCAAAGCUGGAAGAGCAAUGGGAGGAUUUUAUUGCACUGCCCGGUUGAGUUUGGAUAGCAUCCGACCCUUAGAUGGUAUCAGGCAGAUGAUGAAUUAAUAAUGUGAAAAUAAUCACAGAGACAAGUCGGGCCUGGGUGAAGAGAGGUGUACAAACUUCAUGGCAAGACAGGGCCAGCUAGAGGUUGAACUAUGUGAUCUCCCAGGGUUCCUUCCAAUCUGAAUGAUUUUAGAUCCCGUAACUCCAAUUCCUCAACCCUGGAAGUGCAGGACAACUUCUAUCUGUGAUCUGCUACACAGGUUAAAAAAUAAUUCUGCCUAGCCAUACUGAAAAGAUAUUUCUAGGACUCUCUCUGUUUUCUGAAGUCACUGUUAACACUGGAUGCCAGUAGUGAUUUGGCUCUUCUGAGUAACUUGUCUGGAAUUCUGGCUCUCAACCCAAACCCACUUCAAGAAUCUUAGUCACCAUGCUUGGACUUCAAAAUCUAUUGAAUUGAAAGUUACUUUGAUGCAAUAUGUACCCUGUUCAUCUUGAAAGUGGUUGUAGGUCACUUAAAAAAUAUGUAUCUCCUUGUACUUUGGUAUGAGCAUUUCACCCAAAUCAUUGGUUGAAAUAUAUGAAAACAUUUAUAGACUAUUUCAACUUGGCUAAGUGGUAGAAAGAGAGGAGAAAUAAGAAUGCCAUUUUUGGCUAGAAUUAUCUGCUUAGAAGAACUCUACAUAUAUCAACACUGAGCGAGAUUUUCUUAGUGAUUUCUUUCAGGAUAUUUUGUGCUUAAUGAGGAAUUUGCUGGCAGGAAAGCUAAGGAUUACAGCUUGCUAGAUCCUACAGCAACCAACAGAUUAACAGAUUGAUCCUAUUUUAUUUAAUAGGGCUGUCAAAUAUUCACAUGACAUUAGUAUCAUGAUUCAAGGCAUGCAAGAAUAACACCUUACCUUUACAGCUACUCGUCUGUCACAAAGUUUAGAAGUCCUGGAAGGUGGCCAUGUACAAGAAGCUGUUCCAGGAAUCUGAAUUAAAGAUGGAUGAAAUCAGUGGCUGGUAAUAUAUGAUUUAACAACCUAUCUGAGCAAUACAUUAGUUAUGUCUUUAUACAAUAGUGUGUAUACAGAGGAAGUCAGAAAGAGAUUUGAAUAAAGUAAGAUGGUCAUCCGAAUCUUAAUAAUUUUUUGAUUUGCUUCUUUUUCUCUUUGCAAAUUAUCUGCACAUAAUUUGUAUUAAUUUCUCAGUACUGCAUUAUACUAUGAGUUAUAUUUCAGACACAGUCUGACUAAAAUAUAGAUUAUUCCACCUACUGCCACUUGAUUGGCUCACCACACGCAAUAAUAAAGCUCUUUGGAUCCCUCUCUUCUAAGAAUUUCUGCAACUGAAAAAAAAAGUAAUUUCUACUGCUUUAAAUGAAGUGUAUACAAAACCUUAUUUUUACAUAUUUAUUUCUGUUGGUUAUGCUCAGAUGGUCAUUUAAGAAACCUGGUUUCCAUUUCAUUCUUUAACUUGCUUACAAUUUCUAAUACCAAAUAGAGAGGAAAAAAGGAUAGUUCAAAAUUCCAUAAGAAAAAACACCUUUGAUAUUGGUGAAGACAUACAUUUUCAUUAAUGUUUGCAAAAAUGAAGGAAAACGCUUCUUUAACUUAAACUUUUUUUUUUUUUUUUUUUAACAUAUGACAUGCUACUAUGCAGUGUAUAUUAUUACCUAGAUGUUAUCAGAACAUUUAGUUUGUAUACAGGAAAAGACAGAUUUAGAAAAUGGAAAAUAAAAAAGUUUUAUAACCAUUUGGAUAGACUACAAAAGAUACAGUCAAGAAUGAAUCAAGAGGGACAGCUGAAGGGGAAAAUGUGAAAAACUAGGCAUGUAUUACAUAGAAGUGUACUGACAAGGUGCAUGAAAAAGGUUCCAUUAGCAUUUAUGCUUCCUAAAGAGGAGUGGUUUAUAUAAUCUUUUAUAUUAUGUGCAUGCAUUCACAUGCAGGGAUAUUACAACCCUAAAAACCACAAAAGAAUUCCAAGCAGAAACUGCAGGGAUCCUGACCAGAAGACCAUCAUACAUUGAGGAGUGGUGAGCUGUUGUGUGCUGCGUACCCAGAAGGGCCAUCAGGCAAGCAGUUUCUUUUCUGACACUAUAAUUUAUAGGCGGAGUUGUUUCCUUGCAAUAAAAACGUGCAAUAGUGUGAAUGACUGAAAGGGGACAAUCUCUGCAAUGUACAAGCUCUGCAUGACAUACUGUGUGUGGGUUGGACGUCUGCCUGGUGCUUCAGGGAUUGGGGUUCCCAGCAUCUGAAGGGACACAAGAUAAUCUGCAGUAUUCUUUUUAUAAUCUUAGCUCAAAUAUCAAGUAUUCUAAAUCGAGUCCGACUGCUUUUUUUUUUUUUUUUCUUUUUUCUUUUUCUUUUCCUCGCUGGGACAUAACGGACCAGCACCUCCUUGCACGAAAUAGAAGGUUCUACAGUAAUUUUUGCAAAAAGGUAAACAAGCGUGACCAGAGCACUCUGAGAUCUCCCUCUAGUGGCGUAAUGGCAGCACAACGAGAGGACGAUUCCCGCUUGUGCGCAGGUUCACAAGCCUUGACUUAGUGUUGGCUGCAGAACUACAAGCUGAAUUUCUACUCCAUUAGACUGCACUGGGAAUUCAGCACACUAGGAUGUAUUUCAAGCAAUUUUCUUCAAUUGUUUCUCCUCCAUAAGCUACUCAGCUUUGACAAAGCUGUCCCAGAAAGUGUAAUUGUGUUGCGCUGAUUAUACUUGUUUGAAAAUUUUAUACCUUCUUUCAUUUUAUUAGCAGUUGGCUUUUAUUACUCUGACAAAUUAUGGGGAAAAUACAGUGAAUAUUAAUUGCCAGUGUUAACUUAAUUUUCUUCUCAACAAUUUUCACUUAAUUAAACAUUUCAUACAGUAUUGGUAGCAAAAUCUAGGUAUAAUAAAUGAUCAAUUUACCAUUAUUUUUCUAUUUCUUAAGCCUUCUCCUUGAAGGACAGUCAUAUAUUUUUAAGCACCUCACUUUUCAACUGAAGUCUUAUUAAUCACUUAUACAUUGCUUUUUCACUGUUAAGAUUUUUUUUUUUAACAUGCUUAAAAGGUUUUCAGCAGCAUGCAUUCUGAUAGUUAUUUUCUGCAGAAAAGAGGAAAAUGAGUUCCAGAAGAUGAGGACUAGUGAAAGGAAUGUAUUCUGGUAGUACAAAGCAGCACUGAUUUUCUCUUUAGUGGAAACUGAUCUUAGUUAAAAACUCAGUUCAAAAACUGAGUGCACUGUAAGUAGGAGAGGCACACUGACACUGAGUUUAUAGCAUUUGCUUUGAAGUUCCUGUAGCUCUACAGUCAAAAUAAACAAACCAGCAGACAAAACCCUAGGUCCCACAACUAAAAUUAAACAAAUCAUUUAACAAACAAUUAAAAAAACAACCAACAGGCUUACCACUUUUACUUAGUGAAAAACAACUGCACUGCAGUGCUAAGUUAUUGGAGGGGUUGAUGAUUUGGUUGAUGAUGAAACUGUGUUAAGGUCAGUUCAACCUCUCUCUCUGUAACCACAGUUCUAUGAUGGCAGUACAUUUUUACUCAACCUGUCCUGAGAUAAUGCCAAGGAGGCAGCUUACUGCACUCGUGCUGACUUUCAACGUAACCUUACUUAUGUAGUUGCUUAAAUUAGGUCUUCUAGAUGCCUGGUCACAAUCAAUGAGAUCCUGAUUUACCACAAAUGAGAGGCCUACUCAGUGGUUUUACAAAGCAAUCUAUUUUUAACCCACACAUACACUCAGAAGACUAAUUUAAGGCACCUUCAUCUUACAGAUCUUUACUUUUCCUUUCCAACUAAAUGAUCCAGUUAUUUCAGUCCCUAGAGAUGUCAUUUCAAAAGCACAGGUCUAAAAAUUUUAUAGCCAAGAGUAAGCUAAGGAAAGUCAUUAAUGGUAGACAGACCAAACUCCUUGAAAGAAAGAAAGAGAGGUGGGCAGUGACCUGUCAGUAAAUUGGCUGCUAUCACUAACUUGGGUAAUUUAAACUAAAAUCCGAGGAUACCAUUGCCAGCAAAAACCUGAAGGAGAUAUCUAUACUUACGUCAACAGAUUUUGAAUCAUUUGGCAAGUUACUUCUAUUAUUUUAUCUAGCUCAAAAAUGUAAGCAGCAUUGUGCUAACAGGACAGUAUAGCCCAGCAGAGAUGAACAACCAGCUCCAUCUCUGCCAUAUACCUGCUCUGUAUCAGUGUAGUUUAUCAAACUUCACUUAUCUUCAGUUUUCCUAUUUUUAAAACAAGGCUACGAAUAAUUAACUAUAUAAGAACCUAGAGAUUAGAAAAAUGCUUUAUAAAGGUGGAAGUAUGGUUGUUGCUAGGCAACCAAUAAAAAUAAAUAGCACUCCUUACAGCUGUGAGCAUGUUUGUCUAAAGACAGUGGUAGCAAGUUGACAUUAAGUAAAACUCAGCAUCCAGUGUGAUCCUGUAGCCUCUUUCCUAUAAGUAGGCUGAAAUACCAGAGAUUCAGAGCACAAUUUGCAACUUCUAUUACCUCAAUAUUGUUAUUAAUGCAAAUGUUUCUGAUACCAGUUAGGCUGUGAUAAACAUUGAUCCAAGUGUUCAUUUUUAUCUAUUUUCACUCAUUUUUAGAAGCCAGUUUUCAGCGCUUAGUAAGCAUCUUGUCUUUUCCUUACAAGCAGACAAGCAGCAGCCCUAUGUGUUGUCAGAGAGUCUGUGUUCAGAAAAAUAUAGUGCAUUUGCCUGAUUACCUGAAGAUGUCCUAUUAUCUUGGGAGUUUUACGUUGCUCUUUUUCUUUAUUUCUAAAAAGAGAUAGUACAGUGCCCAACUACGAAAAAGCUCUCUUCCCUGCAUUUUGUAGGAGCUUACCAACAACAUCUUUUGGCCUUCUAAUCACCAAUCUGAUGUCACUGUCUUCCCUAAAGAUACAAAAUAGCGAGCCUCAGUUAUCUAUUUUGGAAGAAAAUAAAAGUUCCUUCAAAACAACGGACAGUACCAGUUAAGGGCAGUUUAUCCCAUCUUUAAAACCCUUGGUUGGUGUGAUUACUUAAUAAUCCCUACUACUUUAUAUCACAGAAUGAUAGAAUGGUUUGAAUUAGAAGGGAGUUUUAAAAAGUCGUCAGGUUCCAAACUCCUUUCUGUGGGCCCUGACCUUGCCAUUCCCAGGGGUGCAGCAUCCACAACGCCUCCAGGUAACCUGUUCCAGUACAUAAACACCCUCAUAACAAAGAACUUCUUCCUAUUAUCUAAUUUAAAUCUACUACCUUUUAGUUUAAAACUGUUAUUCCUUGGCCUAUCACUACACAUCUUUGUAAAGAGUCCUUCUCCACCUGUCUUGCAGACUCUUCUUAUGUAUUGGAAGGCCGUGAUGUGGUAUCCUCAGCUCCUUCUAUUCUCCAGUCCAAACAAUCACAGGCCCCUCAGCCUUUAUUCAAAGGAAAGGUCCUCUAGCUUUCUAAUAUCUUCAUGUCCCUUCUCUGCAUCUGCUUCAACAGCUCCAUGUCUUGUGCGGGGGGCCCCAGACCUGGGCACAGUACAACAGGUGGGGCCCCACAGGGGCAGAACAGAGGGGGAGAAUCAUCUCCUUCAUCCUGCUGGCCAUGCUUCUUUUAAUUCACCAGUACCCCCAAGUCUUUCUUUGCUAGGCUGCUCUCAGUACAUUUAUUUCUCAUCCUGUAUGGAUGUCUAGGAUCGACUCCACCCAAGUCAUAACUCUAUAGUCUCAAGUAUUCUGCUGACCAUAUCAAAGAGGAUACAGAAAAGGAAGCACUGUAUGUUUUACACACAACCAGAACGUGCCACUAUUUUCAGUACAAUCUCUGAAAUACAAAAUAUUGAAGAAGCAAGAUUAAGCAUGAGGAGCAUGUUUUAGUGGCUUUAAACAUCACAAGAUUUCACUCAUCCAAUAAAAUAGAAUAAAUAAUAUUGUUCUAUCACAAAUAUGAAUACAGUCCCUUCCAUUAAAUUUAGCACUUCUAAUGGGUAUUCUAAGCAUAAAAAAAAAUCUUUGGAGAAAAAAAUGAAAUAAAUAACGUAUGUUAGCUUUGUGGUGAAUCAAAAAUGGAAACUGUAAAAUGUAUUGUUUGUGUAGUUGCUGCGAUGUCCAUGAGAUUGGAAGAUGGAACACCUUAAAGUAUAAGUGAUUAAAGUGUUGUCCCGUUCAUACAGUGUCCAUAGAUUCUUGAGAACGCAGAACUUAGAGAGUUGUUAGCAUCUUGAAUUAAAAGACUAGAAAGGAAAAACAUGUUACAUUGCCUUUUCAUCUUUCAGUUUCAGUGCUGACUUUAAGGAAAUAUUAAGUGUCUACAAAUACUAGCAGAUGUGUCAGUUAGAUACUAAAUAAUGAGGAAAGCAAAUUACUUGUCUAACUAAGUCAAGUCAAAUAAAUUAAACUGGUUUUCAAAAUACUGCAUAAAUUUCUUUGCAAUAUUGUGCCUUGAAAACUAGUUCAAAGCUUUAUAAAGAAUGAAUGACA